rnacentral:rRNA from 1 species
UACGUAGGGGGCAAGCGUUGUCCGGAUUUAUUGGGCGUAAAGAGCGUGUAGGCGGCCAGGUAGGUCUGCUGUGAAAACUCGAGGCUUAACCUCGAGCUGUCGGCGGAAACCAUCUGGCUAGAGUCCGGAAGAGGAGAAUGGAAGUUCCCGGUGUAGUGGUGAAAUGCGUAGAUAAUCGGGAGGAACACCAGUGGCGAAGGCGACUAUCUGGGCUGCAACUGACGCUGAGGCGACGAAGGCUAGGGUAGCAAACAGGA